AAUAUUUAUAUUUUUUGAUUCCGAAAUAUACUGAAAAACGGAUAAGCCUAAUAUCUCAUGUUGACUUAAUUCGGCAUGGCCAUGCAAUUUUACAGUCAUAUUUCAUCAAGAGGCCUAAAGAUAUAUCUCAUGUUAUGAGAAGAGACAAAUACCAUCUAGGACACUCAUGUCACUCAACAUGAUUCCUCAAGUACCCAUUAACUAACGUUAUAGUUAUCCUUUUACAGACAACAUUUGUAUGGAAAUAAAGCACUCGAAUCCAUAUGAGAAACAUGAUGCAAACUCGAAUCCAAACAUUGUAUUAGUGGAUCACACUGUUAAAGCUAUAGAUGUGGUGUAAAGAGAAGGUUAGUAGAAAAGAGAAGAAAAGAAAAGUCUUGGAGCACAAAGAGAAGGUUAGGAGGAAUCAACUACAUCUUCCUGAUCAUAACUUCAAUACAAAUUUUAUUUAUGACAAGCAUCUUUUAGGUGUUUUUAGCGGCUUUUUUUUAUCCUAAUUUAAAAUCUAUAGCAUGUCCUCUUGUUUUAAUCUAAUGUUGGACGAUCUUUUCUUAUUUGGCCUUUAGAAUCUAUUCCUGUUU
rnacentral:lncRNA from 1 species